rnacentral:rRNA from 1 species
AAAGGAAUUGACGGGGGCCCGCACAAGCGGUGGAGCAUGUGGUUUAAUUCGACGCAACGCGCAGAACCUUACCCGGGCUAGAAAAACACGGAACCCUUUAGAAAUAGAGGGGUGCUCGCAAGAGAGCCGUGGUCCAGGUGCUGCAUGGCUGUCGUCAGCUCGUGUCGUGAGAUGUUGGGUUAAGUCCCGCAACGAGCGCAACCCUUGUCCUUAGUUGCCAUCAGCUCGGCUGGGCACUCUAAGGAGACUGCCGGCGUCAAGCCGGAGGAAGGUGGGGAUGACGUCAAGUCCUCAUGGCCCUCAUGUCCGGGGCUACACACGUGCUACAAUGGUUGGUACAGAACGCAGCUAACCCGCGAGGGGGCGCUAAUCGGCAAAAGCCAACCUCAGUACGGAUUGCAGUCUGCAACUCGACUGCAUGAAGCCGGAAUCGCUAGUAAUCCCUGAUCAGCAGGCAGGGGUGAAUACGUUCCCGGGCCUUGCACACACCGCCCGU